rnacentral:tRNA from 1 species
GCCGGGGUGGCUCAGUCGGUUGAGCAUCUGACUUCAGCUCAGGUCAUGAUCUCACAGUUCGUGGGUUUGAGCCCCGCAUCGGGCU